UACGUAGGGGGCUAGCGUUGUUCGGAAUUACUGGGCGUAAAGCGCACGUAGGCGGAUUGUUAAGUUAGGGGUGAAAUCCCAGGGCUCAACCCUGGAACUGCCUUUAAUACUGGCAAUCUCGAGUCCGAGAGAGGUGAGUGGAAUUCCGAGUGUAGAGGUGAAAUUCGUAGAUAUUGGGAAGAACACCAGUGGCGAAGGCGGCUAACUGGUCCAGCACUGACGCUGAGGUGCGAAAGCGUGGGGAGCAAACAGG
rnacentral:rRNA from 1 species